CUUCCUCUCUCUACACUGGCUGAUGAUAUUCCUCACCUCACCUGUCUCUUUGCUCAGCAGCCCAAUAGGAGCACUUUCUCCCUCCUCUGUGUGGGGUAAGGGGUGGGGGCAGGGUCCACCUGGCAUUGGCGGGAGGGGCAAGUCACGUGGCUGGGGUAGGGGCGGGGCAGGACUGGGAUGGCACUCCAUCUCUAAAAGGUUUGCCAUCACUGGCCUAGCCCUUACUGCUCUUUUGCAAAUUUUUUUAAACCUUUACUUCCCCCUUAGAACUAAAAAGUAAUAAGGACAAAAGCUUUAUUCUUUAAACUUGUGAAAAGUCUAGUUCGUGUAUGUAUGUGUAUCCACAUACGGCUAGGCAUAUAUUGGGUGUGUACAUAAAUGUAUAUAGGUACUGUCUGUGUGUAUUUAGUCCUAUAUGACACUUCAGGACUCCACUGGGGCUUUUGGCAAGGCUAUCGGCGGUUUGCCGUUGCCUUCUCGAGCUCAUUUUACAAACAGGAUUAAAUGCCUUGCUCCGAAUCACGCAGCUAGUAAGUGUCUGAGUCCGAAUUUGAACUCGGGUCUCUUCCUGGCUCCAAGCCCUGCUGUGCCACCGCGGUGCCCUUCAUCUGUACUGUGUACCCGUGUACUCAGACAUGUGGGUGUUCCUGAUCCUGGUCCUCAAAUCAACCACCUGUCUGAAAGGGAAUUUUAAAAUAACAAAUGAGAACUAAUUCAAAUUGGGCCGCUCUGUGUCCCUUCCACCAGUUUAAAUGAUGCCGUUCUCAGCCUCAUUCAUUCCGGCUAGGUCCGCUGCUUCCCCAUCUUCUUUAUUUUUUGCUGACCUCUCGGAGGCACGGAGCUGUGCACGGAACGAGGGGCUGUGCUUUCGGGGCAGGGAUACGCUUGGAGACCCCGCAGGCACCAGCCCAGACGCGUUUACCCGGGGAACGAGCGCGCCCCGCGUAACGGAGCUGUCCACUCGACUGAUUCCGAACGUGGUGGGAGAAGAUCCGAAGGGAAAGCCGAGCCAAAGGAGGUCAGGCUUCUUCCGGGGCAUCCUGGGAAUUGUAGUCCCCAGUGUGCCAGGGAUUCCACGCCCCGGGAAGAACUUGACUACGGUCCCCGAAAGCCUCCAGGCUUUCAGCUGGUGGGAGCAGCACUUCCUGAAACAGCUCGGGCUCAGCGGGAACCGACGCCGCAGCAGCAAUCCAGGCAGCCGCGGCAGAAACCGCGGCAGCUGCCCAGGGCGAUCUCCUCUCUUUGGGCCACUGCGGGACCCAGGCCGUGGGAGGCCCGUUUGGAGGAGAGCCAUUCCGACGCCGCAGAUCUUUUGGAGUCCAGUUCAUCUCAUCUGUUCAUGUAGAUUUACUACAAUUUCUCCCCAUUUGACAAAGGCAUUUUUAAACUUCCCAGGCAAACCUCCAACGUAUUUUUCUGACCCAGAGUGAUUGCU
rnacentral:lncRNA from 1 species